UAAUACGGGGGGAGCAAGCGUUGUUCGGAUUUACUGGGCGUAAAGGGCGCGUAGGCGGUCGUGACAAGUCACUUGUGAAAUCUCCGGGCUUAACUCGGAACGGUCAAGUGAUACUGUCGGACUAGAGUACAGAAGGGGCAACUGGAAUUCUCGGUGUAGCGGUGAAAUGCGUAGAUAUCGAGAGGAACACCUGCGGCGAAGGCGGGUUGCUGGGCUGAUACUGACGCUGAGGCGCGAAAGCCAGGGGAGCGAACGGGAUUAGAUACCCCGGUAGUCCUGGCCUUAAACGAUGAAUGCUUGGUGUCUCGGGUUAUAAAGUCCCGGGGUGCCGUCGCUAACGCUUUUAGCAUUCCGCCUGGGGAGUACGGUCGCAAGACUG
rnacentral:rRNA from 1 species